GCUUAGAGAGGGGUCAAUGUCCUAUCAGCUAGUUGGUAAGGUAAUGGCUUACCAAGGCUAAGACGGGUAGCCGGCCUGAGAGGGUGGUCGGCCACACUGGGACUGAGACACUGCCCAGACUCCUACGGGAGGCUGCAGUCGAGAAUCUUUCGCAAUGCCCGAAAGGGUGACGAAGCGACGCCGCGUGUGGGAAGAAGGCCUUCGGGUUGUAAACCACUGUCGGGAGUUAAGAAAUGUAAGGGUGUUAAUAGCAUCCUUACUUGACUAAGGCUCCGGAGGAAGCCACGGCUAACUCUGUGCCAGCAGCCGCGGUAAUACAGAGGCGGCAAGCGUUGUUCGGAAUUAUUGGGCGUAAAGAGCACGUAGGCGGCUUUGUAAGUCAGUUGUGAAAGCCUUCCGCUUAACGGAAGAACAGCAUCUGGUACUGCAAGGCUAGAGUGCGGAAGGG
rnacentral:rRNA from 1 species